GAUGAACGCUAGCUACAGGCUUAACACAUGCAAGUCGAGGGACCGGCGCACGGGUGAGUAACACGUAUCCCACCUGCCCUUUACUCGGGGAUAGCCUUUCGAAAGAAAGAUUAAUACCCGAUGUCAAGGAUGGGGAUGCGUUCCAUUAGGUUGUUGGUGAGGGAACGGCCAACCAAGCCUUCGAUGGAUAGGGGUUGGGAGAGGAAGGUCCCCUACAUUGGAACGACGGCACGGUCCAAACUCCUACGGGGGGCAGAAGUGAGGAAGAUUGGUCAAUGGGCGUUAGCCGGAACCAGCCACGUAGCGUGAAGGAUGAAGGCUUAUGGGUCGUAAACUUCUUUUAUAUAAGAAUAUGUAUUAUAUGAAUAAGGAUCGGCUAACUCCGUGCCAGCAGCCGCGGUAAUAC
rnacentral:rRNA from 1 species